AGUGACAAUGAGAAAAGAAUAUUGGUACAGGAACUGAUUAUACAAAUUUCAUUUGAUGCCCACAUUCAAAUUCUCAUCUUUUUAGCUACCUUAGGCCUAAGAUGACCAGAACACAGUUUUUCUUUACAUGGAUUUUAAUACUAGUAGCAUUUCAACAGCAUCAUGCUGUUAGCUCCGAUGUUCAAGUGAGAUCAGGUAAAUCACAACCACCUCCAUGGGGUUUGGGUAGGGGGGCUCUUUCACAAUUCCCACAAAUUUUUUUAUGUUCAAGAAUGCAAGUUUCUCACUUGAGCCUACCUGGCCAUCUUCUGAAUCUUUAUUACAGUUGGUUUCAAGAUCAGCCCUGCAGAGUACAG
rnacentral:lncRNA from 1 species